rnacentral:rRNA from 1 species
CAUUCGGCUACGACCGAUGGGCUCUUCAUUAGGUAAUGGAAUAUUAAACCUAUCACCGAUUCAGCCUGUGAGUGUUGGAGCCCGGAGAUCUAUAGUGAGAUAAGGAUCCAGGCCCCAUGUCGUGCGGCGGUCGCGAAACCUGAUGCAAUAGAGGACAGCGAGACCGGAUUAGUAUGAUUAAUUUUCACUAAGAAAGUCUUUUGUCACCUCUCAAAAUAAGGUAGAAUAAGGGGUGGGGAAGUCACUUUUCACCCGCCGCGGUAAUGCCAGCACCCCGAGUGGUCGGGAUGAUUAUUAGGCCUAAAGCAUCCGUAGCCGGUUUUACAAGUCUUCCGUUAAAUCCAACUGCUUAACAGAUGGGGCCCGGAGGAUACUAUAAGACUAGGAGGCAGGAGAGGCAAGCGGUAUUCAGUGGGUAGGGGUAAAAUCCGUUGAUCCAUUGAAGACCACCAGUGGGGAAGGCGGCUUGCCAGAAUGCGCUUGACGGUGAGGGAUGAAAGCUGGGGGAGCAAACCGGAUUAGAUACCCGGGUAGUCCCAGCUGUAAACGAUGCAGACUCGGUGAUGGACUAGCCUAAUGCUGGUCCAGUGCCGCAGGGAAGCCGUUAAGUCUGCCGCCUGGGUAGUACGGUCGCAAGACUGAAACUUAAAGGAAUUGGGGGGGGAGCACA